CUACGGGGGGCAGCAGUGGGGAAUAUUGCACAAUGGACGAAAGUCUGAUGCAGCAACGCCGCGUGGAGGAUGACACAUUUCGGUGCGUAAACUCCUUUUAUAUAGGAAGAUAAUGACGGUACUAUAUGAAUAAGCACCGGCUAACUCCGUGCCAGCAGCCGCGGUAAUACGGAGGGUGCAAGCGUUACUCGGAAUCACUGGGCGUAAAGAGCGUGUAGGCGGGUAGUUAAGUCAGAAGUGAAAUCCAAUAGCUCAACUAUUGAACUGCUUUUGAAACUGAUUACCUAGAAUAUGGGAGAGGUAGAUGGAAUUUCUGGUGUAGGGGUAAAAUCCGUAGAGAUCAGAAGGAAUACCGAUUGUGAAGGCGAUCUACUGGAACAUUAUUGACGCUGAGACGCGAAAGCGUGGGGAGCAAACAGGAUUAGAUACCCCCGUAGUC
rnacentral:rRNA from 1 species